rnacentral:lncRNA from 1 species
GAUAUCGGAUUGAGUCCAAAACUUGGGGAACAUCAUAAUAUUGUGGGCCGGAGUCAUUUGGUGGGUUUUGAGUGAAAUACAAUCCCUAGAACUAUACAAUACACCAACCACUGCAUUUCAGAACGAACUUCGUACGAACCUGAAUUCUCAAAUUUCGUGUACCGAUCGAUAUCGGAUUGAGUCCAAAACUUGGGGAACAUCAUAAUAUUCUGGGAGGAGUCAUUUGGUGGGUUUUGAGUGAAAUCCAAUCUCUAGAACUAUACAAUACACCAACCACCCCAUUUCAGAACGAACUUCGUACGAACUUGAAUUGUCCGAUUUCAAGCUCCAAUCGAUAUCGGAUUGAGUCUAAAACUUGGGGAACAUCAUAAUAUUGUGGGAGGAGUCAUUUGGUGGGUUUUGAUUGAAAUCCAAUCUCUAGAACUAUACAAUACACCAACCACCCCAUUUCAGAACAAACUUCGUAGGAACCUGAAUUGUCCGAUUUCAAGGACCAAUCGAUAUCGGACUGAGUCCAAAACUUGGGGAACAUCAUAAUAUUGUGGGAGGAGUCAUUCGGCGGGUUUUGAGUGAAAUCCAGUGUCUAGAACUAUACAAUACACCAACCACCCCAUUUUAGAACGAACUUCGUACGAACCUGAAUUGUACGAUUUCAAGGACCAAUCGA